AUGCAGCAGCCGCGGUAUUCCAGCUCCAUAGCGUAUAUUAAAGUUGUUGCAGUUAAAAAGCUCGUAGUUGAACUUUGGGCCUGGGCGGACGGUCUACCUAUGGUAAGCACUGUUGCGGCCGGGUCUUUCCUUCUGGCUAGCCCUCGGGCGAACCAGGACGAUUACUUUGAGGAAAUUAGAGUGUUCAAAGCAGGCCUUUGCUCGGAUAUAUUAGCAUGGAAUAAUAGAAUAGGACGCAUGGUUCUAUUUUGUUGGUUUCUAGGACCAUCGUAAUGAUUAAUAGGGACGGUCGGGGGCAUCAGUAUUCAGUCGUCAGAGGUGAAAUUCUUGGAUUGACUGAAGACUAACUACUGCGAAAGCAUUUGCCAAGGACGUUUUCAUUAGUCCACACCCACAGUUAGCGGAUCGAAGAUGAUCAAAUACAGGCUUAAGAAUAAAAAUGACUAUGUCGACUACGAAUCGCUAGGUGCGGGUUUGGUU
rnacentral:rRNA from 1 species